rnacentral:rRNA from 16 species
GGAUGCGAUCAUACCAGCACUAAAGCACCGGAUCCUAUCAGAACUCCAAAGUUAAGCGUGCUUGGGCGAGAGUAGUACUAGGAUGGGUGACCUCCUGUGAAGUCCUCGUGUUGCAUUCC